AGUGAACGCUGGCGGUAGGCCUAACACAUGCAAGUCGAACGGCAGCACAGUAAGAGCUUGCUCUUACGGGUGGCGAGUGGCGGACGGGUGAGGAAUACAUCGGAAUCUACUUUUUCGUGGGGGAUAACGUAGGGAAACUUACGCUAAUACCGCAUACGACCUACGGGUGAAAGCAGGGGAUCUUCGGACCUUGCGCGAUUGAAUGAGCCGAUGUCGGAUUAGCUAGUUGGCGGGGUAAAGGCCCACAAAGGCGACGAUCCGUAGCUGGUCUGAGAGGAUGAUCAGCCACACUGGAACUGAGACACGGUCCAGACUCCUACGGGAGGCAGCAGUGGGGAAUAUUGGACAAUGGGCGCAAGCCUGAUCCAGCCAUACCGCGUGGGUGAAGAAGGCCUUCGGGUUGUAAAGCCCUUUUGUCGGGAAAGAAAAGCAGCAGGUUAAUACCCCGCUGUUCUGACGGUACCCAAAGAAUAAGCACCGGCUAACUUCGUG
rnacentral:rRNA from 1 species